rnacentral:rRNA from 1 species
UACGUAGGGGGCAAGCGUUGUCCGGAAUCAUUGGGCGUAAAGGGCGCGUAGGUGGCCCGGUCAGUCUUUGGUGAAAGCGCGGGGCUCAACCCUGCGUCGGCCAGGGAUACUGCCGCGGCUCGAGCACUGUAGAGGCAGGCGGAAUUCCGGGGGUAGCGGUGGAAUGCGUAGAGAUCCGGAAGAACACCGGUGGCGAAGGCGGCCUGCUGGGCAGUUUAGCUGACACUGAGGCGCGACAGCGUGGGGAGCAAACAGG